ensembl:lincRNA
UUUCUCUGCAAUUUAGUUACACGUGCUGGCAAAUCCCUUAGUAGCUUAAAGUGCCACGUUUCAUGGAAUCUAAUGUGACAGCCACUAGUAUGAGAUAAGGCUCACCACCAAUUGCUGGGCCAGUUACCUCACAAUGGAUUGCAAGGCACGAGUUUAUGACAUGGGCAUGGGGGGAGCCCAGCUGUCCUUGGAGAGAGGAAGGUGGCAGUCCAAACUGGGCAGUUUCUCACAGAACAAUUCCAGGUGUUUCAUGUGCUCUUCCUCCCCACUUCAGAAGUACACUGUGGACACAAAAGUGACAGAAAGUCAACUGAGAAGGCCGAUGACAGAAGAGUGGAUUGGAAUUAAGAGAGCAUUGGCAAACAACGCGCAGACACGGCUGAUCUUCCUUUCACCGCCUCCUUUUUUCUCCAUACUCUGUCCCCACUCACUAGACAUGUUCUGGCUCCUUUGGCGCUGCAGGGAGCAAGGGGAUGUCACACGGGGAGAAGCAGUGAAGACCAGGAGGCCCUGUGGCCUCUGAAGUCCACAAACUGCCCAAGGUGCUGCUGUAGGAGCCGGUGCCCUGAGCUCCAUUCCCCAGCAUUGGAGGAUACGGAUUUGAACACAAGCCUGCAAUCCUGCAGGUGGCCUUCAUAUCACUUGCAAGACCCCCUCCAUGAGAUACUUCCUGGGACUGCAUCUCCCAGACGUGAAGACUGAUCCAGAGCCCACCGUUGAUUCCCUUACUGCUGUGAUACACAAGGAGACAGUGGGCAAAACCCCUGGAAGUGCUCUAACUGUGGACCCCCCCAAAACCAUUUCAAGAGCUUAGUUCCUUUGGAGAUGGUUUCUUGAAUUGUUUCCAAGUAGAACACGCAAUUCUUAGCUUUGUGUGUCUGGCUUGUUCCUCUCUGCAUGAUGUCUUCCAGUUCCAACCAUGACGCUGUACAUUACAUGAUUCCAUCCUUCUUUAUGGCUGAAUAAUACUCUACUGUGUUUAUAUGCCACAGUUUCUUUAUCCACUUGUCUUCUGUAGGGCAUCUAGGCUGACUCUAUAUCAUGGCUGUUGUGAGCAGUGCUGCAAUGAACAUGAGUAUAUAGACAAAAAAGAAAGAAAAACAUACCAGAGAGAAUCUAAUCCCCAAAGAGGUUUAACAUCAUCCUAGUGACCACAAACCAUUGUACCUUGGUAAAUAGGAAAUUCACAUGUGCUGGCUCUUUCAGGAGGGGCUUGAGGCAUUCUAAUCAAAAACACAUAUGAAUCUAAAGAAAUAAGAGAUCUCCAGAGAUGUGGGCCACAGUGGGAAUUUUCCUUUAUUUGUCUUCCUGGUUUCAGAAGAGUCACUUUCUGUGAAGUUGGAGGGCUCCUGGGUAAAAGAGGAGAAUUCAGGCAGGCUAAGCAGAAAGCAGGUGGGAAAUGUUCUGGUAACAUCACCUCCCUGUGCCUCCAUGUCAUGUAAAAUGGGGCUAAUGACUUUGAUCCCUUUUGAGGACAUAGGAAAAAGUCAAACUUGGUACCUCCCAUGAUAUCCUCACAACACAUAUCUGAGGAGAUAUGUGGGGUUUCCCCAUUCGCUAAGCAAGCCGGCAAUUCCACCCCAGGCACCAGCCAGGUGUCUUCUAACUCAUUUCAGUUUGGACACUGCCUAGAGAUAGUGUCAGAUCCCACAAGGUGAGGGUCCAGUCCCCAAAACUACUGCUCCAUUCAGGUACCAACUGCAAGCCUUGGGUUGUUUUAUCUGUGCUUCUGAAUGACCAGCUAUAAUCCAGGGAUCCACAAACCCUUAUUCAAGUUCCAUCAGUGUGUUAGAAUGGCUCCUGAACUCAGGAAAAUACUUCUUCUUGUAAAAGAUAUUAGACAAGCUACAGAUGAAGAGAUGCCUAGAGCAAGGAAUUGAAGGAGAGGCAGAGAAGCUCACGUACCCUCUAGGAACCUCACAUGUCCAGCUACCCAGAAGCUCUUAGAACCCUGUCCUUUUGGGAGUUUAUGGAGGCUUCAUUAUAUUUGAUUAGGUCGUUGGCCAAUUUAAUCUCCAGCUGUCCUGUCCUUCCUAGAGAUUGAGGAGAAGGGCUGAAAGUCCCAAUCUUCUGUUCCUGCCUUGGUCUUUUCAGUGACCAAGCCCAUCUUAAAGCUACUAGGGCUUGCCAGCCCCAUAAGGAUCUAGUGACGUGCUGAAUUUGGCCAUAACACAUAUGUGAAAGCAGACUAGAGAAAGCGUCUGAAGCAGUAAAGGUGGAAGAUGCCGGAAAAGGAAGUAAUCUUAUUUUGUGUGCAAGGCUUUAAGUACAAAUUUGUCUCAUUUAAUCCUCUGAGCAGUGGGGCCAAGUUGGUGUUCUGUUCUGCUUUCACAGAGGAGGGGAGAGAGAAAGCUGCGGGAGGUGCAGCCAUGAGCUCAAGUGCACAGAGGCUUCAGUUCCAAGUCUCUUGGACUACACAGACCAGGGGAAGGGAGGCCUUGGGGAGCAAGGUUGGAAGAAUACGUAAGACAGUGACCUGAACAGGGGUGAAGGCUCACAGGUGGUAAAUCUACCAGGGACCCAAGGCAGCUCCAUCUAGAAAAUGUGAGUCUUGCAAAGAUACUUGGAGACGUUGUGAACUUCCAAGUCAGUGAGUAACCAGCUCUGCAGAAAGAAGUGACAAGACAGUUCAGAUCAAGUGUCGAGAGCAGAAUGUGCCACCUAGCUCAGGACUGUCUUGACUACAGGUAUGUAUGCCUCAAUUAAUACAACAAUAGGCGACUUGAACUUGGCAAACUGGUAGAAAACAGGUUUCAAGAAUGGGCAACCCAUUUGGAACCCCUCCUGUCUCUCAGGAGCUAUUCCUAUUCCCCGUUCCCAUUCCCCUAAUAAAUUUUCCUACUCUUAAAAUAAAGAACUGAGCCACACCGUUUUUUCAUAAGCUA